GUUUAAUUACCUUCACUUAUGUUACUCUGCUUUAUUUUAAAUCAAUUUCUGAUUUAAAAAUUAGUAGCUAAUGUGAAUGUUUUGUCUUAAUUUGAGAUAUUGUAGCUGCUUCACUGAUUAAGAAUGAUUUUUGAAGUGCGUUUUCAAAGUCCACUGUUUUGAAGAUUUUUGAGCUAUUCUGAUGAGAUACCAUUUAAAGUUGGUGCUCCUGGUGCUUUCUCAGACCCAACAUCAGGUGACAAGAUGGCGCUAGAUCAAUUCAUCUCAUUGUGGAUUCAAGAAGAUACAAGUGCUCUAUCUAGCAUGCCUUUGAGUAAGAUACAAGAAGAAUUUGUGAAUCAUUUGCAUACUUGAUAUUAAUGUUCAAGUUCCCAGGCCAAUCAUUAGCUAUAAGGUAGUUGGUAUUUUCAAUUUUGAAUCGGAAUAUGCAAUGAUGAUGUAUACUUGAUAUUUGGUUCAUUUGUAUAAUAAUGUAUGAAUUUUUUGGAUGAUAUAUAAUAUUGUUAUCGUUGAUUUUA